rnacentral:rRNA from 1 species
UACGAGGGGGGCGAGCGUUGUUCGGAAUUAGUGGGCGUAAAGGGUGCGUAGGCGGUUCCGCAAGUCCUGUGUGAAAUCUUCGGGCUCAACUCGAAGUCUGCACGGGAAACUGCGGGGCUUGAGUGUGGGAGAGGUGAGUGGAAUUUCCGGUGUAGCGGUGAAAUGCGUAGAUAUCGGAAGGAACACCUGUGGCGAAAGCGGCUCACUGGACCAUUACUGACGCUGAUGCACGAAAGCUAGGGGAGCAAACAGG